rnacentral:lncRNA from 10 species
CAAGACACUUCAUAUCACAACAUGAACAAUGCCCAGCCUGCUUAAUACCCUAUGGUAGAAGAGAACAGAUCAACCUCAUAAACAUAUAUUUUCACAGAACCAGGCAAAAUAAAAAUACAUUAAUAAAUUUUAAAAAUGGUCUGCAUUCCAAGGAGUUGCAUACUUACUAAAGACAGACAUAACCUACCUUGGCAAUUAUAUAAACUUUUUUUUUUUUUUUUAAAUAGAGACAGUGUCUCAUUCUGUCACCCAGGCUGGAGUGUAGAUACGAUCAUAGCUCACUGUAUCAAAUUCCUCAAAUUCCUGGGCUCAAGCAAUCCUCCUGCAUCAGCCUGGGUAGCUGGGAUUACUACAACCAGGUACAUGCCACUACACCUUGCUAAUUUUUAAAUUUUUUUUGUAGAGAUGGGGCUUCACUGUGUUGCCCAGUCUGGUCUUGAACUCCUGGCCUCAAGUGAUCCUCCCACCUUGACUUUCCAAAGUGCUGGGAUUAUAGGUGUGAGCUACCACACCCAGCCUAAACAAUUACUUUAUUAGAAGCUUCUGAAUUAUGUAUGAACUGAGCAAAUUUCACUUAAUAACAUAAACUUCAGUUCUUAUUAACAAUUUUUGAAUGUAAGCCUAAAGAUGCCUGAAGAAACUGCUGCUGCUCAAUGAAGCUGUCUAGCAAUUUUCUUGCAACUCAGCAUCAUGGAAAGGUCUCUGUAAGGAAGUGGCUCCCACCAGGGAGCAGAACAGGAAGGGAUGCAAGCGCAGCACCACGGGGCUCUCUUUUCCGCUAAGACACCUGCAGACUUGGCUAGGUCUCCAACUGAAUUCUCACAGAAAAACGGGGGUGGGAAAACAAGCAAAUGUCAAAUAAACACAGCAUAUUGCUACACCCUGUUAAGUCUACCCUGCUGUAUCUUAAGGCGAAGCAAGUAUGCCAUAUACCAACCCCAAGGACACCAGAAGCCCCUGGGUGGGAAACGGCUACAGCAGGCCGGGUGCCUGUGGCUGAGUUAACAACCAUACCUGGUUCUUGCGCCUGAGCACAACUACUGUAUUUUGGUUUCUAAAUACAAAAUUCUCAAUAAAAAAGCAAUAAAGGAAACAACAGGUUUCAGAUGAUAUACUUUUAUAAUGUAGAUUCUUUUUUUUACCUUUUUCAGAAUGUCAUCGACAAGUUUCAAAAAUAUCUCGUCCACAUUGAAGUUAUCCUUGGCACUUGCUUCACAGAACCGCAUCCCAGUGAUCUGCUGUGCAAACUGAGAAGAAACACACACCUAUUUCCUCUGUGUGGGGCCUCACAGACCAGCGUGCGAGCAUGAGUCUCUGUAUAAAAUGUCAGGUUAGAUAAUAAUGUUGUAUACACUGAUGUGUUUUUUUCUCCCUCCAUUUCAGAAUGAAUUUAAAGGAGCACGAAGUCAAAAAAGUGCAAACAAAUUAGGAGGAUGUGACUGAGUUAUCACUGUAUUGAUAAUUUCUUUGUAAUUUUUAAAAUAAGUAAUUUAUUAAAAGAAACAGUACCUCAAGCGCUAAGCACAGUGUGUGGCAACCGUGCCUCCCACGCCCUCUCACCUUUUCCCCCUGCUGCCUGGUGAUUUCUCUGUCCGUUUCACAGUCCAACUUAUUUCCAACUAAGAGAAGCUCUGCAUCUUCUGAAGCAUACUGUGGAAUUUUAAAAGAAGCCACAUUUCAAAGAUGGGCAUCGCCAUAUACUGACAGCAGAAAUAUAAACCGAUACAGUAUUUUUCGCUAAUUUACAUUUGUCCAUUCACUUCCACUGUCUUUGAGGUUCUACCAGUUCCCAGGCAGGACUGGGCAGCAGUGCAAGGCAGGGCUCACUGUGUCUUAGAAAGAACUAGGGCACAGGCAUUAAGAACCACAAUGCUCUUGGCUGUUGACCCAACAAUUCCCAAGACCUCUUCCUAAGGAAAUGAUUCAACAUACAGGCAAAGCUCUACACUCAAAAUGGUUAUCAACUGAAAAACCUACAAGUCAAACAAAAUGGCUCAAGAAUCAAGUUAUUUUAAAAACACAGGCAUUUAAAAAAACACACGCUUCAGAAGAACAGAGAAUGACACAGGAAGGACUCCAUGACAGAAUAUUCACAAAAUAAGCAAGACGUAAAGCUAAAUACAGUGAAGCCAAUUUGGUUUUUCAGGAUGCCAGAGGUACAGAUUUCUUCUUUACUUUUGUGCUUUUCUUCAUUUUCCAAAUUUCUAUAAUGAAGGUAUCAUUAAUUUUAUAACCAGGAAAAAAGUUAAGCUACAUUUCUAAGUUUAAAAAUACAUAUAGGUACAAUGAGAUUUCUGUCUUUAAAAAUGAGGUUAAAAUCUCUUGAGCAACUAACUUGUCGUUCUAAAAAGUUACUUGAAACAGACUGCAACAAAAGGAACCUGAAUGGUGUGGCCGUGGGCCAGUUACGCAGCCAGGUGAGGAGUGCCGGCCCCUUAUCAGGGAGGUGUGGGUAACAGUGACAGCACCCACCGCAGGGCUGGGGCAAUGGGCCCCGCACUCAGGAAAUGAUGCUCUCACUCAAGUAAGGUGAAAAGCAGCAGUUGAUGACAAAAGGAAGACAGCAUCAGACCUCAAGACCUGGGUGGGCACAGACUCACAAACUCAAGUACCAAAUGGGGUAGGAUUUAGGCCAUUUCUUUUGGUUUUGUAUUCAUCCUAUUAGUUCUAAAAGUUUUAGACUAUGAGGACUGUCCACUUCUAAUUUCCACAGGAUUGCACUCUGUGACUUCCGUAUCAGGGAACAUCAGUAUCCACUGAUGUGCCAAUGGAGGGCCUGGUAUGACUGAUGCCCAGUGCAGAGCAGGCUGGGGCAGGGGCCCCGCCUCAGGUCUGAUCCAACCUUGCAACCCUGAUCCUAACAACUUUUUUUUUUAAUGAAAAAAAAAAAAAAAAAAAAGAGAGAGAGAGAGAUGGAGUCCCACUAUGUUGCCCAGGCUGGUCUCGACCUCCUGGGUUCAAGUGAUCCUCUUGCUUUGGCCUUCCAAAGUGCUGGGAUUACAGGUGUGAGUCACCAUGCCUGGCCACCAAUCCUAACACAUUUUAAAGAGGCAUACAUCAUCAAUGACAUGCUUGGUAAAGCUGGCAAACAUUCUCCAAUGUUAUCUAGCAGACAGGUUUAAAUGCAAUGUGUAGAUAAAAUCCAAUUUAUAUUGCAUAUGCUUGUUAUGCAAAGGAACUAAACAUGAAACUACUGCACGAGGGGAAGAAAACUCAAAAUGUGGUCAAUGGUAUAUCAUCACAUCCCACUCCCAACUGCUCUGCCUUCUAAAUGUGUAUUUGGGAACAUGUUUCUUAGCGGAGAACCCACGGUUCACAUUAACCACAGGGACACAGCCUAUCUGUAUGAUUCCAUCACGAGCCAAAGGAGAACUCGAGCUCCUCUUGCUCAAAAUGAGGAGCUAAAGGGCAUCUAUAAUUGCGAGGACAGAUGUCCAGUGGGUGACGGAGGCGCGUGGGACAUCCGCAGGCACCGUGGAGAAGGCCAUCUCCUCAAGGUUGUCACUCAGUGGACGUGCAUGAGAUGAGUGUCCAGGUGACCUUUCCGCAGAAAUGAAAUGUCUUAUAUCUAUUCCAUGAAAGCAGCUGGAUGUAGUGGAAUGAGCAUGUUUGGCCUCUGUAGUUGAGACAGUCCAGGAUACCAGACGAAAAAUCCUGAUUCUGGAUAAAUUUAAUUCUUCUUUGCCUCAUCCACAAUACAGGACUACAUCCCUAUCCCGAAGGCUAUAUAUGGGCUAAAUGAUGUUUAGUCUAUAUGAAAACAUGCUCAAUACAUGUGUUUCCCCUCCUUCUUUUAAUAAUGAUUAAGACUCACAAGCAGAGAGUUCACAUUGGACAGAAAAAUGCAACAUUUACCUUAUCAAUCAUCUUCAUCCAUUUCGGCAAAUCAUCAAAUGUCUCCUUCUUAGUGAUAUCAUAUACUAAUAUGAUCCCCUUGGCACUUCUG